rnacentral:lncRNA from 1 species
AUGGUGAUUUCUCCAGUAAAGCAUGUGUGCUCUGUUGCUAUCCGUGCCAAGGGGAUGUUCUCUGGAGGUCCAGGAGCUGACCACCUUCUCAUUUCUCACCCCAGCUCUCACAGUCCAUCCACCAGAUUGCAGAGGAGUGCUUUCAUGGAGGGAGGACCUCCACUGAUGGAAUUUCACAUCCUUAAAGGUAAGAUUUGGGAGCUGAGGCCUCUGGAGAGAUAACUCUUCCAAAGAGGGACAGCCCUUAUUUGCUCUGUGUUUCCAGGAAAAAAAGGAACAUGUUGAUGUUACUGCAGAGGGAUGAGUCAGCUGGCAUCAUAUUAUCCCAUUCCACUUUGGCAGGACUCUGCUUGCUAGUUCCUGGGACUGCAGACAUCUAGGUGGGAAGGGGAGGAGAGCUGGCCAGCUGCCUAUAAGUAACUCCUUCCCACUGAAAGGGGACAGUUUUUUUCAGAAAAUGUUUUUCCAUGGCCCUGCAGUCUAGUCCGGUUCCCUGUGGCUCAAUACACCUAGAGAUCUGGGUCUGGAGUCAGAAAUACCCGAGUUCAAAUCCAGUCUCUGGAUGACCCUGGGCAAGAGACACUCUGUGCCUCAGUUUCUUAAUCUGUAAAAUGAGGUGAUAACGACAGUGGCUACCUACCAGGAUUGUUGUCAGGAUCAAACAAGAUAUUUAUAAAGCACUUCACUUCCGUGUUAUAAGGCAUCAAAGGAGGACUUCUGAGGAUGAAAUUAAUUAAGCACAUAGUAGGUGCUUAAUACAGUCUUGCUCCCAUCUUUCCUUGUGACUAUGGAUCCUUGGGUCUCAUUUAAGCUCAGAGAACAUUUUCAGAAUUCUUCUGGUGGCCGAGCAUGCAGUAAGAUCACUUUAAAUGAUUCUUAAAAUGUUCUGUUUUUGAUGGGAUCAAGUAACACGAAAGAGUAUUUCUAAAAGAAUACAAGGCUGGUGGCAAACCAGUCUGUGCGGUAAGGAAGGCAGCGAGGGGUUCACACUGAGAGUUGGAGUUCUUGCUUGGCUUUGAACUUCAGCUCAGGGCUUCAGAGCCGUGAGACCUUGGCCAAGUCAUCUUCAAGAUCUCUCCUGGUCUAAGACUAGGGGGCUGGCCUGGGGGAUUGCUGGGAUCUUCUGCAGUCUAGUCUAACAAGUAUUUGCACUCCUUCAGUGCUUACAGAAAGAAGUCCAAGACCCUCUCUGUCCUUGCCUGAUUGAUGUUUCCAGCUCAGA